AGUGAUGUGGUGGGGGUUUGCUGUAUUGGUGUAUUGGUGAUGUAGUGGUGAUGAUAACGGGUGUGCUUAGUUUAGUAAUGGUGGGUAGGUAUGGUGUUGUGUAUUGGUGAUGACAAGGUGGUGGUGCGCAGUGAGGUGUUUAGAAGAAGUUAUGGUGGUGAUGAUGUGCAUAGGUGAUGACAGUGGUGAUGAGCAGUGUGGUGUUUAGAAGUAGUAGUAGUGGUGGUGGUGAUGACAAGGUGGUGGUGCGCAGUGAGGUGUUUAGAAGAAGUUAUGGUGGUGAUGAUGUGCAUAGGUGAUGACAGUGGUGAUGAGCAGUGUGGUGUUUAGAAGUAGUAGUCGUGGUGGUGGUGAUGACAGUGUGGUGUUUAGAAGAAGUUAUGGUGGUGAUGUGCAUAGGUGAUGACAGUGGCGAUGAGCAGUGUGGUGUUUAGAAGUAGUAGUAGUGGCGGUGGUGAUGUGCAUAGGUGAUGACAGUGUGGUGUAUGGAAGUAUAAGUGGUGGUAGUGAUGGUUGUGGUGUAUGAUCGUGAUAGCAUAGUGGUGGUGAGGGUUAUGAAGAGGUGGCAGUUAUAGGCAAAACGAGUAACACUGAUUAUGGAUAUGAAGAGGUGAUCAUUGCUAUAGAAAUGAGGUAAUAUUAUCCUAGAAUAUAAAAUUAACCACUGUUGUAAAAUAUAAGGGUAAUACUUGCUGUAGAAUAUGAAGGUAAUAACAAUAAUAGCAGAAGAGGUAAAAUUAUCCUAGAAUAUAAAAUCAUUGCUGUAGAAUAUAAGGGUAAUACUUGUUGUAGAAUAUGAAGGUGAAAAUAAUAAUAGCAGAAGAGGUAAAAUUAUCCUAGAAUAUAAAAUCAUUGCUGUAGAAUAUAAGGGUAAUACUUGCUGUAGAAUAUGAAGGUAAUAAUAAUAGUAAUAAUAAUAAAAGUAGAAGAUGAGGUAAAAUUGUCCUAGAAUACGAAGG